rnacentral:lncRNA from 10 species
CAGACACUUUGGAUAACUCUUACAGUGAAGGGUGAAAGGCUCAGUGCUGCCUGUCGGGAGCACUGCUUCGAGGAGACCGAUCCAGAGAACUUUCAGCCUAGGGAGUACGGCGCGCAAACCCAGCUGAGGUGAAAGUCUCAUUGGGGAGCAGCUCCCAGCACAAACUGCUGAAAGGCUGGCCGCAGCCCUGCUGCCCAGAUUUCUUCUUCAGCACUCUCUAACUCCCUAGAGCUUUUAAAAUGUCCCCUGUGGUCACUCUGUAUACCAGGGAAGACAAACGGGUUUGGCUUCAUGCCUGCAUUGGCAGUGCUGGGUGCCUCUUCAUCCUUCUCUCUCUCCUCUUUUUGGCAGAAAAACCCUUUUCAAAUAUCCAAGCCCCUUCUUCUCUAUAAAAAAUAAGACAGAUGUGAGCUAUGAACAUCGUUACUGGUGAAAAAAUUAAGAUUUAGGAAAGGAAAUAUCUGUCCUCAUCAUUUUGCCAGAAGAGCAGAGUAGUUACAGUCAUGGACUUUAACUCAAAAUCCACAGAAUUUGAGUCCUGGCUUCCCACUUACUGAUUCCGUGACCUUGGGCAAAUACUUAACCUCAGUAAGCCCCAGCUUCUUAUUUAGGAAAUGGGGAAUAACAUGUACCUCAAAAUUUAGGGGAAUAAUGCAUGUAAAGAAUAUGCCAUUGUGUCUGACAUAUAUUAAAAUCCAAAAUUACAGUAAUUUUUGUGAUUAUAAAAAUGAUGGUGAUAACAUGAAAGUAACUAAUUAAAUAAAAUUAUGUAUAUUAAAAAUAUAAAAAUAUGAUUUUACCACCAUCACCACUCCCAAUAUUAGCAUUUUUAAAAUAGAAUUUUACAAUUAAGACCUCAGAUGAUCUCACGUGGUGGUCAAGCUGUCACUUCUCUAAAGUGGCCUCAAUUGCUCCAGGGCCAGAAAGUAGGAAAAUUGGAACACAGGAGCGCUGGGCAUGACGUCUCAUGCCUGUGAUCCCAGCAAUUUGGGAGGCUGAGGUGGGCAGAUCACUUGAGGUCAGGAGUUCAAGACCAGCCUGGCUAACACGGUGAAACCCUGUCUCUACUAAAAAUACAAAAAUUAGCCAGGGCGUGGUGGCAGGUGCCUGUAAUCCCAGCUACUUGGGAGGCUGAAGAAGGAGAAUUGCUUGAACCUGGGAGGCAGAGGUUGCAGUGAGCUGAGAUGGCACCACUGCACUCCAGCCUGGGCAACAGAGUGAGACUCUGUCAAAAAGAAAGAUGAAAGAAAGAAGAAAGAAAAGAAAAGAAAGAAAGAAAGAAGAAGGAAAGAACAGAAAGAAAGAAAGAAA